GUUGGACGUGAAGAAUGCACUUGUUAUGGCCAAUGCAGUCACGGCUAAUACAAAGGUGGGAGGCAUGUAAUGGCAAUGUCCUUCCAACCAGGCGCAUCAGUCAGUCAUUGGACAUCCAUUGACACCGUGUUUGGCUUGCUUUUUAAUGAAAGAUUCCUCGUCUGGUUGGCUUGCUUUUUAAUUCCAGGAUUAGUUUAAUGAAGACGGUUUUUACUUGAAAACUUUCCCUUGAUGACGCCUUAACAAUCGGUUUGCAAGAUUGAGAACAGGAAAAGACAGGAGAAAUAUGGCUCAAGUCUGCUUCACUGUUUCUCUUUGUUUGUUUAUGCCUAUUGGAAUAGAAACGCUUUUCUCAAUGUUCCUAACCACAUUGUGACUGAAACUUGGGGAGAAGGAAUCACUGAAGCUAUAUAUUCCAAGAACCCUUCUGAAAGGAGCAGUCUGCUUCACUGUCUCUCUUUGUUUAUUGCUCUUUGUUUGUUUAUGCUUAGAUUGAAAAGCUAGAGUUUAGUGAUUUUUAUCAAUCUUCGAAAAUAAUAGAUAGAAAUACUGCAGACACAGCCAUUGUGACUUCUGUCCAAUCCAAAACUUGCUGCCUGCAGUCAGUUUGGGCUAUAACUUGUAUUGGUGGGGUUUUCUGAACGAUUUGAUACACGGUGGUGUGCGACGGUUGCAUGGAAGAGAAGAAAUUGGCACUGCCUGCGUGAAAUUU
rnacentral:lncRNA from 1 species